rnacentral:lncRNA from 1 species
AUUGCCACCUACUGGAACACCAGCACCAUUCCCUCAGGUUUUAUGGUCGAUAACAGUGACUCGUCAUUGGCCAGUGGAAGAAAUUGAAUGUUGCCAAUCACUAUAUUGCUGAAAGGAUUCUCCUAGGAUGAAGCAACCAUGAACGUUCCGUGCUCAGAAUUCCCUUUAAAAGAACCUUCGGCAGAAAGCAAAUUUAGCUGACAGCUUUCAGCUGCCACCAUUUUUGAUACAUCAAGGUAGUCAUCCAGGGCCACAUUUACCUUGCAUUG